rnacentral:rRNA from 1 species
UGGGGAAUAUUGCACAAUGGGCGCAAGCCUGAUGCAGCCAUGCCGCGUGUAUGAAGAAGGCCUUCGGGUUGUAAAGUACUUUCAGCGGGGAGGAAGGGAGUAAAGUUAAUACCUUUACUCAUUGACGUUACCCGCAGAAGAAGCACCGGCUAACUCCGUGCCAGCAGCCGCGGUAAUACGGAGGGUGCAAGCGUUAAUCGGAAUUACUGGGCGUAAAGCGCACGCAGGCGGUUUGUUAAGUCAGAUGUGAAAUCCCCGGGCUCAACCUGGGAACUGCAUCUGAUACUGGCAAGCUUGAGUCUCGUAGAGGGGGGUAGAAUUCCAGGUGUAGCGGUGAAAUGCGUAGAGAUCUGGCGGAAUACCGGUGGCGAAGGCGGCCCCCUGGACGAAGACUGACGCUCAGGUGCGAAAGCGUGGGGAGCAAACAGG